CUAAUGCAAACACCCUACUAUACUCUUAUGAUGCAUGACAUAUGCUCAAAAUAGUUUAGUUCUGAAAAGAGAAGUUCCACUCACCUCUGGCUGACUCUGUACUCACUCUGCAGGUUCUGACCCUGUGCUCACUGCUGCUCUCUGGGGUUCCUCUGGUCCGUUCCUACACAGGUGGACUCAAAUGAGGGACCAAACUAACUCAAGAACAUUUCUAAGAAACUCCCCAAAAACCCUCUAAAAGAUCCCCAAACAAGCACAUAAAACAUGCAAAAGAAAGCUGGACAGGGCACUUUCGGCGGCAGGUUCGGCGGCCGAAACACCGCUCUAGAGACGAAACUCAUGCAUGUUCGGCGGCACCUUCGGCAGCCGAAAGUCUCAUCCAGAGACGAAACUCAACCUUCGGCGUCACUUUCGGCGGCCGAACCUUACCUCCAGAGACGAAAGUCCCAAGUUUCGGGGGCAAGCUUUGGCAGCCGAAACUGCCUCCACAAGGGGUUCGGCGGCCGAACCUUCCUUCGGCGGCCGAACCUGGUUUUGCCCGCUGGGCAGAACCCUGCUCUGUUUCAUGCAAACCUUUCCCCCAAACUUACCCAACUACUCCCAACUAGCACAUACUAGCACAUACCAUAAAACAUGCACAAAGGGGCCCAAAACGAGCCUCAAACCUCAAACAAACACAUCAAACAACACUUCACAUGCUUGACCAUACACAUCUCCCAAAAACCUCACCUAAACCGAAUCAUGCAUACUACCCAUCAAACUUUCAUAAAACCUUUAAAAACCAUCAAAGAAGUUCAGGACCCACCCUUACCUCCUUAAGAACUUGAGGAUGAGUGAUCCUAACGUGGAGAGAUGAAGAAAUCCUCUUCCAAAGCUCCAAACUUCCAAACUUACUAUUUUUGCUCAAAACCUUCAAAACACACCAAAACUCUUAAAACCCUUGAAAGAUUUGGUGAAAAACAUGAAAAACAUGAAAGUCAACUUGGGAGGGGCUUGAACUCACCUCUAGCUGCAAGUGGAGGAGACAUAUCCUCCUGCCACCGACCUUUGGCCCUUUUAUAGGUGGCUGGCCAGACCACCUUCGGCAGCCGAACAUGAAUCCGAAACCAUGCAAUGUUCGGCAGCCGAAAGUGACCUUCGGCGGCCGAACCUUUGCAUUUCUCCCUUCUUGCUUUUCUUUCAAAACUCAUUUCCUUUAACACUAGAAAACAUUCAAAACUUUUAAAACACACAUGAAAACUCUUAACACACACAUGAACACAUAGGUCUUACCCUUCUCGCGGGAUCCGACACUCGAGAUUCCACCAGACGACAGGAAUUCCGAGGCUGGACUCGAGCCGGGUAUUACAUUCUUCCCCCCUUAAGAACAUUCGUCCCCGAAUGUUCCUCAAACAACUAAACAGAUAAACACAUAGAUAAGGGGCAAAACUAACCUUAAAACAGAUAUGGGUAUUGCUGGAGCAUCGACUCCCGUGUCUCCCAAGUGCACUCCUCUAGGUUAUGGUGGUUCCACAGGACUUUCACCAUUGGUAUCUCCUUGUUUCUCAGCUGUCGAAUCUGGGUGUCAAUGAUCCGCACUGGCUGCUCGACAUAGGUGAGAUCGCUUAAGAUUUCCACCUCAGGCUCACUAAGAACCUUCUCUAGAUCUGACACAAACUUUCUCAACAUAGAAACAUGAAAUACCGAGUGAACUCGUUCCAUCGAUGCAGGUAAAUCCAGCUUAUACGACACAGGCCCGAUCUUCUGCACGAUCUGAAAGGGACCUAUGUACCGUGGAGCUAAUUUACCCUUCUUUCCAAAGCGAACCACUCCCUUCAUUGGAGACACCUUUAGCAAUACCAUAUCCCCCUCCUGGAACUCUAUCUGCUUCCUACGGAUGUCUGCAUAGCUUUUCUGUCUGCUCACAGCUGUUCUGAUCCUCUCUCUAAUGAUAGGCACUAACUUGCUGGUAAUCUCAACUAACUCUGGCCCUGCAAGAGCCUUCUCUCCUACCUCUUCCCAGCAAACAGGUGUUCUGCACUUCCUCCCAUACAGAGCUUCAUAAUGAGCCAUUCCUAUGCUAGCAUGAUGGCUGUUGUUGUAGGCAAACUCCACCAGAGGUAGAUGCUGCCUCCAAGAACCGCCAAAGUCUAACACACACAUUCUCAGCAUAUCUUCUAUGGUCUGGAUGGUCCUCUCUAACUGACCGUCUGUCUGUGGAUGGAAAGCAGUGCUGAAAUCCAAUCUUGUACCCAUAGCAGCUUGCAGACUCCGCCAAAACCUGGAGGUGAACUGCGGUCCUCUAUCUGAUACUAUCGACACUGGAACUCCAUGCAGCUUGACUAUCUCUUCGACAUAGACCUGCGCUAACUUGUCCACAGAAUAGUUGCUCCUGACUGGAAUGAAGUGAGCAGAUUUCGUCAGUCUGUCCACAAUCACCCAUAUGGAGUCUAGCCUAUUGGACGUCGCCGGUAACCCCACUACAAAAUCCAUAGCUAUGUUCUCCCAUUUCCACUCUGGAAUCGGCAGUGGGUUAAGCAUUCCAGCCAGCUUCUGGUGUUCUAGCUUCACCCUUUGACAUGUCUCGCAGGCUGACACAAACUGUGCCACUUCUCUCUUCAUCGCUGGCCACCAAUACACCCUUCUCAGGUCUUGAUACAUCUUGGUGGCUCCAGGGUGAACGCUAUACCUCGCACUAUGAGCUUCCCUCAUAAUGUCUUCCUUCAAACUGCUAUCAUCUGGUACACAUAAUCUCUUACCGUGCCGAAGAAUCCCCUCACUGUCAAAUCUGAACUCUGCACUGUUGCCAGACUGAACAGUCCUGGCAAUCUUCACUAACUCAGGAUCUUCGUGCUGUUUCAGAGCCACUUGCUCUAGAAACACUGGUGUCACUCUCAUCUGUGCAAUCAACGCACCUGUACCAGAUACCUGCAACUGGAGCCCUUCAUCCAUGAGUCUGUAAAAGUCCUUCACCACCGGUCUUCUCUCUACUGCAAUGUGGGAUAAACUGCCAAGUGACUUCCGGCUUAAGGCAUCAGCUACAACAUUAGCCUUACCCGGAUGAUAUUGGAUCUUACAAUCGUAAUCACUGAGCAAUUCUACCCACCGUCUCUGCCUCAAAUUUAACUCUCUUUGACUCAAGAUGUGCUGUAGGCUCUUAUGAUCUGUAUAGAUCUCACACUUUACCCCAUAGAGGUAAUGCCUCCACAUCUUAAGUGCAAAGAUAACAGCUGCCAUCUCAAGAUCGUGUGUCGAGUAAUUCAGCUCGUGCCUCUUCAGCUGUCUGGAAGCAUAAGCUAUCACUCUGUCAUUCUGCAUUAACACACAACCUAAUCCCACUCGGGAUGCAUCACAGAACACUGUGAAAUCAUCCUCACUGAUCGGCAGAGCUAACACCGGUGCUGAAGUCAACCGUCUCUUCAACUCUGCAAAACUCUCAUCACAAUCCUCUGACCAUACGAACUUCUGAUUCUUCCUGGUCAGUCUGGUCAUAGGAGCAGCUAUCUUCGAAAAGUCCUGAACGAACCUCCGAUAGUAGCCUGCCAAACCCAGAAAACUCUUGAUCUCUGUCACUGUCGUGGGUGUAGGCCAAUUGGCUACUGCCUCUACCUUCUUGGGAUCUACUGUUAUUCCUUCCUCUGAGACGACAUGUCCCAAAAAGGCGAUGCUCCUUAGCCAGAACUCGCACUUGGAGAACUUGGCAUACAAGCCAUGUUCUCUCAAAGUUUGCAACACUACCCUCAGAUGCUGGGCAUGCUCCUCGGCAUUCCUGGAGUACACCAAGAUAUCAUCUAUAAAGACGAUCACAAAACGAUCCAAGUACUCCCUGAAAACCCUGUUCAUGAGAUCCAUGAAUGCUGCAGGGGCAUUCGUCAACCCGAACGGCAUCACUAGGAACUCAUAAUGCCCAUAUCUGGUCCGAAAAGCAGUCUUGGAUACAUCUCCUUCCCUGAUCUUCAACUGGUGGUAUCCGGAUCUCAGAUCUAUCUUCGAAAAACAACCUGCUCCUGACAAUUGGUCGAAUAGAUCAUCGAUCCUGGAUAAAGGAUACUUAUUUUUGAUAGUGACUUUGUUCAACUAUCUGUAGUAGACACAAAGUCUAAGAGGUCCAUCCUUCUUUCUGACAAACAAAACUGGAGCACCCCAAGGGGAGGUACUCGGGCGGAUGAAACCUUUUGCUACCAAAUCCUGUAACUGUUCUUUCAACUCUCUCAACUCUGUUGGCGCCAUCCUGUAGGGAGGAAUAGAGAUCGGUCUGGCACCGGGCAUCAACUCUAUCUCGAACUCUAUUUCCCUAUCAGGUGGUAGUCCUGGAAGCGCUUCAGGAAACACAUCUGGGAAUUCUCUAACAACUGGUACUGAGGAUGGUUCCCUAACCUGACUGUCUAGCUCUCUCACAUAAGCUAGAAACCCCUGACACCCCUUCCUCAACAUCCUACGAGCCUGAAGGGCUGAUAUCAAACCCCUAGGUGUCCCUCUCUUGUCUCCUCUGAAGACACACUCUAACCCAUCUUGGUCUCUGAGACUCACUACCUUGUCCCUGUAGUGCAAGGUAGCACUAUAGGUAGAUAACCAAUCCAUCCCUAGAAUGACAUCAAAAUCUGUCAACUCUAGAACCACAAGGUCAGCUGGAAGGCAUCUAUCCUCUAUAAACACUGGACUGAACUGACAGACUGACUCUGCCAAUGAUGGGUCACAUCUAGGUCCACUGACCCAGAGAGGACACUCUAACUCAGAUACAAUCAACCCCAAUCUCUCUGCGGCUCUAGAAGAAAUGAAAGAGUGAGAAGCACCGGGGUCCAUUAAAGCAUACACUUCUGAACACCCAAUGAUGAGAGUACCUGACACCACUGUGUUCGACGUGUCUGCCUCCUGUUGUGUCAUGGUGAAAAUCCGUGUUGGAGCUGACGGACCUGCACCUCGGGAACCCAUCCCUGAUGAAGAGGCUACCCCUCUUCCUCUACCUCUGCCACUGCUUGGUGGACGGGCUGAAGCUGCUGACUGGACAACACUACCUGAGGUCAUCUGCUGGGAUGGUGCAACCAAAGUCGCCUGAGGACAUUCCCGUGCAUAAUGUCCCUCCUGCCCACAUCUAUAGCAGGCUGUAGAUCCCAACAAACAAGCUCCUCUGUGCGGUCUCCCACACCGAUUGCAAACUGGAAGAUCUGUGCCCAAACUGGAGCUGCUACUCAUUCCCAUACCCGACUUAAGCCUGUUCCAGAACUUGCCUCUUUUUCCUCUGAAUUUAUCCCAUCUCUUCUUGCUCGCACUUGCUGUACUCUGUGCUGAGGAACCUGGUUUAACACCAGAAGACUGUGCCUUUGAUUGCUUGACUACUCCCUGACUUAUGGCACUGGCCUCCAUGUUUCUAGCAGCAUCCACAAUAGAGUGGAAACUCUCCUUCUCCGCGUGGAGAAUCAAAGAGAAAUACCUGGGAUGAAGCCUUGUGGCAUAUCUCUUUGCCUUCUUCUGAUCCGUAUCAUAUGCCUGACCCACGUAUGGUAACAAUUCCAGAAACUUAUCUGUAUACUCAUCAACACUCAUCUCCUCCGUCUGUCUCAACUGUUCGAACUCCACAACCUUUAGCUCCCUGGAAAUGUCAGGAAAAGCCCACCCAGCAAAUUCGUUGGCGAACUCUUCCCAUGUCAUACUAUCUCUUCUGGGGUCCACAUAGUUCUUGAACCAUUCUCUGGCUUUCUUACAUUUUAAUGUGAACCCUGCCAUCUCAAUGGCCCUGCUCUCAUCUGCUCCCAACUCACUUGUUAUCAUUCUGACUGCACUGAGAUACUCAAAGGGAUCAUCUCCCGUAUUGAAUUUAGGAGCAUCCAACUUUAAGUACUCCGUCAUCUUCACCUUAGUUCCCUCUGAAGAACUGGGUUGGACUUCAACAACAGGGGCUACUGGUUCAAGUGGUGGUGGUGGAGGUACUGUUUCUCUGGCUUCAGGCUGUACUGGACUUGGAUGAAAAGGUGGGGGUGGAUACAUAUGAUAUGGUGGAUAAAAGGAAAGAUAGGGCAUAUAUGGCAUGUAGGGUGGAUAUGGGGCAAAGCCGGAGUACUCCGACGUACCUCCCAUCGGAUCCCUUGGGCCCUGUGGAAAGGGUGGAUAGCCAAACCCCGAGGCCUGUACGCCUCCCUGGGACUCCCCCAUACCUUCUUCUGACCUUCCUACACCCAUGCUUACAUCUCUACUCUGAGCCUCCUCCCUAGCCACUCUCUCUUCUUCUGAUCUUCCCCCUCUGCCUAUUCCUCUUCUGCUCUCGUCAGAAGACCUUCGAGGGUCUCUUGACGUUCCCUCCCUGCUUGACCUGUGAGUCCUUGCCCUUGGCAACGCAGGAGGACGAGCAGCUGUACCCUCACUUUCAGGUGGGACUCCAGUCAAUCUCGCGGAUCGACGAGUUCCUCGCAUCUUAACUCUCGCUGGAAACAACACAUAAUAGCGCACAUAAGCAACACAUAGAGGAAAACAACACAUGCAUCAUGGCAUUACUCAUCAUCAGCAGAUAGACAGGACUCACAUCCUAUCCUAGUGGACAUGUUUUCCUACUGUGCUUGACCAACUAAAUCUCUAUGAGCCCAACUCUCUCUCUAUAGGUCCGAUCAUGUGAACCUAGGGCUCUGAUACCAAUCUGUAAUAGCCCAAAAACCGAACCGCUACCGGCACUAGGAUCCAGAUCGACUUAAGGUCGCCGGGACCCGUAGUAAGCCUGCUAUCCUGUCUGUGUACCUGUGAAAUCCCAUACAUGAUCAUAUAGUUUCUGUCAAACAUUAAAACUUUUCUUUCCUCCCAGGGCUUAACAACACAUGCAUCAUGGCAUUACUCAUCAUCAGCAGAUAGACAGGACUCACAUCCUAUCCUAGUGGACAUGUUUUCCUACUGUGCUUGACCAACUAAACCUCUAUGAGCCCAACUCUCUCUCUAUAGGUCCGAUCAUGUGAACCUAGGGCUCUGAUACCAAUCUGUAACAGCCCGAAAACCGAACCGCUACCGGCACUAGGAUCCAGAUCGACUUAAGGUCGCCGGGACCCGUAGUAAGCCUGCUAUCCUGUCUGUGUACCUGUGAAAUCCCAUACAUGAUCAUACAGUUUCUGUCAAACAUUAAAACUUUUCUUUCCUCUUAGGGCUUAACCUGUGCAUGCACUAGUUCUGAUCUCUCUACUCAUAGUGUUAAGCCUGGUUUUCUCAUAGAUAUCAUCAAUAAAGGAAACACACAUAUAUAAACUGACCAUGUAUAUACAACAAGGGAUUACAACUCUCUAAGUCAAGCACAAGUCUAUACACUGUACACUAUCUCUUUACAAUUACAUGUCCAUACUAGCUAUUACAUAACUUUUCUUCUUCCAUACCCUGCUGAACUCCCUCUGACCUCUGACCCUGCAAACCUGGGGGAUAGGGGAGAGGAAUGAGCUAUACAAGCCUAAUGAGCAGAACUAUAAAACAUGAGUUGAAAACAUGAUCUCAUGGAAUGCACUACAUCACAUCAUCUCAGGGAUCAGACAUGACCACCAACAAUCCCACUCAAGGAUGCCUGACCUAGUCAGGUCUUACAACCUCCGUCUGCCUGGCCAGGCCAGGUCUUACACUCUGCCUGCCUAGCCCAGCCAGGUCUUACUAUCUCUGCUGCCUGAUCUAAUCAAGUCUUACCUACAGAUGUCUGCCUGGCCCGGCCAGGUCUUAUAACAGAGUUUGGGCUAUUGGAGUCGCCUUGGUCUAUUCCCAGCCUCAUACACAUCGUAUAUGCAAUGCGUCAACUUCGUGCAACUAAUGCAAACACCCUACUAUACUCUUAUGAUGCAUGACAUAUGCUCAAAAUAGUUUACUUCUGAAAAGAGAAGAUCCACUCACCUCUGGCUGACUCUGUAAUCACUCUGCAGGUUCUGACCCUGUGCUCACUGCUGCUCUCUGGGGUUCCUCUGGUCCGUUCCUACACAGGUGGACUCAAAUGAGGGACCAAACUAACUCAAGAACAUUUCUAAGAAACUCUCCAAAAACCCUCUAAAAGAUCCCCAAACAAGCACAUAAAACAUGCAAAAGAAAGCUGGACAGGGCACUUUCGGCGGCAGGUUCGGCGGCCGAAACACCGCUCCAGAGACGAAACUCAUGCAUGUUCGGCGGCACCUUCGGC
rnacentral:lncRNA from 1 species